CAUUGUUAAGAUCUUGCAUCACUUUUAAUGUGUAUAACAGCUGGUCACCAGGUAGCUAUUGCUAUAAUUUCCAUCUUACAGAUGAGGAUGGCAAGGUGCUGAGAGCUUUCGGGAAGUGCACCAUUGGUGGUGGCACCCUUGCCCUCAAAGCCCAUCCCCAGGUGGAGCCUGCACCACGAGGAGGUCUCAAUGGAUGAUUAAAGCAGCAGUAGAUGAUCACUCGAGCGCAGCCACCAUAGCCAGAGGACAAGUUGCAAUGCACACACAAGAGGUAACACACACACACACAGGUGCACCUGCAUGCACACAUACACACGAACUCACACAUGUGUGCAUGCACAUAUACGGCAGCCAGGAAGCCUGGCUCAGUUACUUGAGUGAGUAAUGUCACCUCCCUGUGGUUUGGCAAUCCCUUCAUCAGUGUGAC
rnacentral:lncRNA from 1 species